AACGAACGCUGGCGGCAUGCCUAACACAUGCAAGUCGAACGAUGCCUUCGGGCAUAGUGGCGCACGGGUGCGUAACGCGUGGGAAUCUGCCUUUCGGUUCGGAAUAACUCAGGGAAACUUGAGCUAAUACCGGAUAACGUCGCAAGACCAAAGAUUUAUCACCGAAAGAUGAGCCCGCGUAGGAUUAGCUAGUUGGUGAGGUAAAGGCUCACCAAGGCGACGAUCCUUAGCUGGUCUGAGAGGAUGAUCAGCCACACUGGGACUGAGACACGGCCCAGACUCCUACGGGAGGGAGCAGUGGGGAAUAUUGGACAAUGGGCGAAAGCCUGAUCCAGCAAUGCCGCGUGAGUGAUGAAGGCCUUAGGGUUGUAAAGCUCUUUUACCCGGGAAGAUAAUGACGGUACCGGGAGAAUAAGCCCCGGCUAACUCCGUG
rnacentral:rRNA from 1 species